rnacentral:rRNA from 1 species
ACGACGCUGGCGGCGUGCCUAACACAUGCAAGUCGAGCGAAUGAAGUUCCUUCGGGAACGGAUUUAGCGGCGGACGGGUGAGUAACACGUGGGCAACCUACCUCAUAGAGGGGAAUAGCCUUCCGAAAGGGAGAUUAAUACCGCAUAAGAUUGUAGUACCGCAUGGUACAGCAAUUAAAGGAGCAAUCCGCUAUGAGAUGGGCCCGCGGCGCAUUAGCUAGUUGGUGAGGUAACGGCUCACCAAGGCGACGAUGCGUAGCCGACCUGAGAGGGUGAUCGGCCACAUUGGGACUGAGACACGGCCCAGACUCCUACGGGAGGCAGCAGUGGGGAAUAUUGCACAAUGGGGAAACCCUGAUGCAGCAACGCCGCGUGAGUGAUGACGGCCUUCGGGUUGUAAAGCUCUGUCUUCAGGGACGAUAAUGACGGUACCUGAGGAGGAAGCCACGGCUAACUACGUG